CACAAUGUUGGUCUCUAUUUCUGACGUCAUCCUCACUAGCCAGUUCAGGGUCUGUGUGAUCUACAGAAAAACCAGAAGACUAAGGAUCAUCUCUGGCUCAGAAACCAACUCAAUUAGUCAAACUGUAAGUUUGACAGAUGGAGAGGAAUUCUACCCCAAGACUCCAAGUCUCAACCACAACUGAUUUGAAGGACAAAUUUGGACAUAGACUCACACAAGGGAGGAUACCACAUGAAGAUGAAGACAGAGAGCGGUGUGAUGUCUGUAAGCCAAAAAUGUCAAAGAUUGCCAAUAAACGUCCAGAAGGUAGGAGAGAAGCCUGGAGCAUGCCCUUCUCC